rnacentral:tmRNA from 1 species
GGGGACGAAAGGAUUCGACAGGAAGCUAGGUAGCCGGAUAGCAGGCCGAGGUUGGGUUGUCACCCUCGUUAAUCAGGCGACCCAAAAAUAGUUGGCAAUCGUCAACUCGCUCUCGCUGCCUAAUUAGCGGCGACGUCGGCUAGUUCCCUCGACCUGGUGGGGUUCUAGUUGGCGCUGCAAUGCCAGGGUGCUGCGGUAUCACGCCGAUACAUACCGCCUAAGACUUUCGGCUGGCCGGUUGGCAUGGGGACCACCACUGUAGCCGCCGGCGAGAUCCCAAUCGGUGGGAACGCCUGUAGGACAAUCCGGAGCUGAACUUUGCUGGACCGGGAGUUCGACUCUCCCGCGUCUCCACCA